rnacentral:rRNA from 1 species
UACGAAGGGGGCUAGCGUUGUUCGGAAUUACUGGGCGUAAAGGGCGCGCAGGCGGCCUGGCAAGUCGAGUGUGAAAUCCCUUGGCUUAACUGAGGAAUGGCGCCUCGAAACUACCUCGCUGGAGGGCGGGAGAGGGAAGUGGAACUCUCGGUGUAGGGGUGAAAUCUGUAGGAUAUCGAGAGGAACACCGGUGGCGAAGGCGGCUCCUGGCCCGUACCUGACGCUG